rnacentral:rRNA from 1 species
ACGGGGGGUGCGAGCGUUGUUCGGAAUUAUUGGGCGUAAAGAGCGUGUAGGCGGCUGAAUAAGUCAGAUGUGAAAUCCCUGGGCUUAACCCAGGACGUGCAUUUGAAACUAUUAGACUUGAGUAGGGGAGAGGGAAGUGGAAUUCCUGGUGUAGGGGUGAAAUCCGUAGAUAUUCGGAGGAACACCGGUGGCGAAGGCGGCUUUCUGGCCCUAUACUGACGCUGAGACGCGAAAGCGUGGGGAGAAAACAG